AUGUCACAGAGCGCUGCCUAGAGCAGAAGCCCCAGAGGAGGGGGCUCUGAGGCCUAGGGGGCUCUGCUCACCACCCGCCCACUGGAGACCCCAUGCAAGCAGAGUCUAAAGGCACCAUGUUGGUGCCUGCUCACUUCAAUGAAAGCGCAUCUUGAAGCUGCUCCCACUUGGGUCUUCCAUCCCGGGACUGCCUGGCAACACUGAAGACCAGGAGAUCAGGAGCCCUGCAAUUUUAUUAACAUGUGUGACAUGGGGCUUUCCCUCAUUUGUCCUAAACAAAACAACUCGCAAUGGUGAAAAGUCAAGGAGUUCAGAAAACAGUGUUUUGUGAAAUACAAUUCUCAGUGAACUGGGAGCAAUAUCAACUGAAAAUAAAUAAAUAAAUAAGAAUCAUCAUAAAAAUGAAUAGAAUCUACUGAAACCAAAGGGGACAGAAAAGCCUCAACCUCAACACUGUUUCAAAUUGAGUCAUAAGGUGAAUUCCCAAAAUGCACCAAAGGCACGUGCUAUCAGCCCGGAGCCCCGCCCUACACCCUUGAGCCACUCAGUCCCACCCACCAUCUAAGCUCCCCGAGAUGGCAGCAUCUAGGUUGUCCGGAGCUCAGUGCCAGGCCUAGAUCGCAGCUGGCUAGUUCCUGCCCUUCUCCCCAUCCUCUCCCAGUCUGAGUCACGCUAGUUCCUCAAAGUCUGUGCCACGCUCUCUCCCACUUCCAUCCCCACUGCAUGGAACACUUUUCCUUCCUCCCACAUCACCUUUCGUCCUUAUCUUUUACCUGGGAAAGUCCUAGCAACGUUCCACUCUUCUAGCAUCAGCUUGAAGUCCUUUCCCCUGGAGGCUCCAUCCCAGCCUGGCAGGGUGCCCACGGGUGCCUUCCAGUAGCACCUGUUCUGUGGUCACCCUGCCCUGGAACCCCUUCCAGGCUGUCAACCACCUUAUGCAGGACUGGUCCACUUGUCCUCACUGCACCUGUAAUGCCCAGGUCAGCGCCUGGUGCUUCAUAGAUCCUCAGUAAAGCCAUGUUUGGAGAGGGUGUUUGCCAGUCCAGGGCUGUGCCCUUUCGCUUCUGGCAGGAGAAGCCAUGAAGUCACUGGUUGUUCCUUUCAGCCUCAGAGGAAUGGGCAGAACACAAGCCCCCAUAUGUUGCUUUCAGCAGUCCUAGUGAAAUUCCCCGGAUCUCUUUCCAAAUCCACAGAUGAAGACAACUUUAUUAUGAAUUUUCUAGAGAGCCCUGGCCUUGCCCUGCAUUGCUGUCUGAGCCUCUGGUCUACACUAAUCCCCAAAGCACACAGCAGGGCAGCCCAGUAACCAGCCACCCCUUCUCCUUCCCAGCCUCCCCGUCGCCUCUAGGGCAUAACCAAACUGUGGCCGUGUGGCUGGGAGACAUUUAUCACGGAAUUACAGCUCCGGGAUGCGGUGUCCGUGGCUGUGACGUGAUGACUGUGUAUUUCACGCCUCUCAGUUUCCCAGCUGGGAUUCAGAGAUUUAAAGACAUGAGAGAUGUAUUUUUAAAUUUAUGAGAGGGCCACUGAUUUAAUUAAUUGUGCCCGAAGAGUGCAGUCAGUCACAAUAAGAAUUCUUAAAGGUGAAGGGGACCAAAGGAGGCCGGUCUCAACUGUUUGGGGCUGAUAAAGCUUGUGUUUCUUCAAUAAAGCCAUCUUGCUAAGGAUCUGGGUGUAGAACAAAUUCUUUAGAGGGCAUGUCCAUAGGCAGAUGAUGCACCCACAAGCAUUUGGGGAAACACCCAAUUGGAGAAACACCCACCAAAACAGCUCUUCUUUGAGAAACUCCGUGUAACAUGAUCCUUCAAAAAGGACAAAAACCGAUUCAUCUGCCAGAAGUAGCUUCUCCUUUCACACUGGUUCAUUCUGUCAUCUGACUGGCGCUGGCUGAGCUGGAGCCCAUUCUCCUGGAUUCUAGGAAUUAAGUUUUCCCCAGCAGCUACACCAAAGACAAUAUACUCCCGUCGGCUGACCAAGUCCCAGAUUCGUGCACCAAAGACACCUGCAGCCUGCCUGGUCCAACCUGCGAAUUUUACAGAUCGGAAAACUCAGUCCUGGAGGCCUUUCCUGAGGCUGGGCCUGAGCAGAGACACAGCCCCGUAGACAUCAAGGUCGAGGCUGGGGUGAAAUCACUUCCACUGCCAACUGAACUCCAUGUUUCUGUUCUGGAAGAUCUAAUGGAGAACCCAGGAGAGAGGACAGCAGGGAGGAGAAGGCAGCCCUAAUUCAGAUGCAGAUGUCACUUAGAACUUUUUACUUACACCUAUAAGAGGAGUCUGUCAAUAUCAGAGACAUGCUGGCUGUCAUCUGGAUAUGAUCCCCCAGAUCAUCUCCAAUCAAGAACUCUCAGAGAGGGCAGGAGGGAUGGAGAAAAUGUGUAAGACAGGAAGCACCUCCGCGACGUGCCACUGAGCUUGCACCCCGGCCUUUCUUCUGGAGACUCCGAACUCCUGUGGCUCGUGUGUGCCGCCUCCCCUGCGGGAGGUGACAGCAGCUCCUGGAGGACUGAGAUGGCAACCUCCCACGCCAAUCCAGAUCCCAGCCUCCAAACCCCUAUCCCUGCUGCCCCUUGAACACCUCCCCUCCCUGGAAUUAGGCUUGGACUGGAAGAUGAGCCACUUAGGAAAAUAACAUCAUUUGUGUGUCAUGGGCCCUGCCCUGGCCCCAAGUGCCGACAUUUGAUCUCUGUCCUCUGACCCCGGCUCUGACCCAUGCCUGAUCCCGUGGCCAUGCCAACAGCAGCCCAGGCCUGUCAGGAAAGCAGCUUUCCCAAGGAGGCCCAGACAAGCCUCGACUCCUGGCAGCUUUUGCCUUUUGAGGGGCCUGUUAGACCAGGUAUACAGAGCACAGUGCAGGAUGGCCCAGGAGAUUUUUAACAGGCUUGUAAGGAGGGGACUAAUUAGUAUCUCAUCAGAAUCUUAUUAGUGCGGGAACAUAUUGAGGAAUAGUAAUCCUCAUUCAUUAACACUGUGUUUUCUAACGGAAAUCAAUGGGCGGCCCUCAUUCUGGGUGGAUUUCUGAGAGCAGCACUCUGUCCAAGUGUGAAGGGAGGUCUCAGACACUGUGCAGGCUCCAGAAACAGAGAAGGAGAGUUUGGCCUGGGUCUUCCUGAUGUCCAUGCCAAUGAAAUAAACACCUCAACCUCC